rnacentral:hammerhead_ribozyme from 1 species
AUCUAGUUGACGAGUCCUAAAUAGGAUGAAACUCGUGUUCUGAAU